AUUGAACGCUGGCGGCAGGCCUAACACAUGCAAGUCGAGCGGAGCGGCGGACGGGGGAGUAAUGCCUAGGAAUCUGCAUGGUAGUGGGGGAUAACGUCCGGAAACGGGCGCUAAGACCGCAUACUAUCAGAUGAGCCUAGGUCGGAUUAGCUAGGUGGUGGGGUAAAGGCCUACAAAGGCGAAGAACCGUAACUGGUCUGAGAGGAUGAUCAGUCAAACUGGCACUGAGACACGGUCCAGACUCCGACGGGAGGCAGCAGUGGGGAAUAGUGGACAAUGGGGGAAAACCUGACGCAGCCAUGACGCGUGUAUGAAGAAGGUCUUCGGAUUGUAAAGCACUUUAAGUUGGGAGGCGUUACCUACAGAAUAAGCACCGGCUAACUUCGUGCCAGCAGCCGCGGUAAUUC
rnacentral:rRNA from 1 species